UGAACGCUGGCGGCAGGCCUAACACAUGCAAGUCGAACGGUAACAGGAAGCAGCUUGCUGCUUCGCUGACGAGUGGCGGACGGGUGAGUAAUGUCUGGGAAACUGCCUGAUGGAGGGGGAUAACUACUGGAAACGGUAGCUAAUACCGCAUAACGUCGCAAGACCAAAGAGGGGGACCUUCGGGCCUCUUGCCAUCGGAUGUGCCCAGAUGGGAUUAGCUAGUAGGUGGGGUAACGGCUCACCUAGGCGACGAUCCCUAGCUGGUCUGAGAGGAUGACCAGCCACACUGGAACUGAGACACGGUCCAGACUCCUACGGGAGGCAGCAGUGGGGAAUAUUGCACAAUGGGCGCAAGCCUGAUGCAGCCAUGCCGCGUGUAUGAAGAAGGCCUUCGGGUUGUAAAGUACUUUCAGCGGGGAGGAAGGCGAUAAGGUUAAUAACCUUGUCGAUUGACGUUACCCGCAGAAGAAGCACCGGCUAACUCCGUGCCAGCAGCCGCGGUAAUACGGAGGGUGCAAGCGUUAAUCGGAAUUACUGGGCGUAAAGCGCACGCAGGCGGUCUGUCAAGUCGGAUGUGAAAUCCCCGGGCUCAACCUGGGAACUGCAUUCGAAACUGGCAGGCUAGAGUCUUGUAGAGGGGGGUAGAAUUCCAGGUGUAGCGGUGAAAUGCGUAGAGAUCUGGAGGAAUACCGGUGGCGAAGGCGGCCCCCUGGACAAAGACUGAC
rnacentral:rRNA from 1 species